rfam:Gossypium hirsutum cultivar TM-1 chromosome 17, whole genome shotgun sequence
AAUAGAAGGAUGACAAAUUAAAUUUUUCCUCCUGAUUUUCAGUUUUUUUCUCCUAAAAAAAUUUAAAUCCAACUAAAAAUACAAAAAGUUGAGAAUAAAAAUUUAAUUUGUCAUUCUCUCAUU